rnacentral:rRNA from 1 species
UACGUAGGGUGCAAGCGUUGUCCGGAAUUAUUGGGCGUAAAGAGCUCGUAGGCGGUCUGUCACGUCGGCUGUGAAAACCCGAGGCUCAACCUCGGGCCUGCAGUCGAUACGGGCAAACUAGAGUACUGCAGGGGAGACUGGAAUUCCUGGUGUAGCGGUGAAAUGCGCAGAUAUCAGGAGGAACACCGGUGGCGAAGGCGGGUCUCUGGGCAGUAACUGACGCUGAGGACCGAAAGCGUGGGGAGCGAACAGG